ACGCACGCUGGCGGCGUGCUUAACACAUGCCAGUCGAACGGGCCCGCCCCUGUUUUUGGGGGUGGGUUGAGUGGCGAACGGGUGAGUAUCACGUGAGUAACCUGCCCCCUGCUCCUGGAUAACUGCUUGAAAGGGCGGCUAAUACGGGGUGUGCCGGCUGGUCCGCCUGGGCCUGGUCGGGAUAGUUUCAUCUUCGGGUGUUUCGGUGGGGGAUGGGCUCGCGGCCUAUCAGCUUGUUGGUGGGGUGAUGGCCCACCAAGGCGGUGACGGGUAGCCGGCGUGAGAGGGUGGGCGGCCACACUGGGACUGAGACACGGCCCAGACUCCUGCGGGAGGCAGCAGUGGGGGGUAUUGCACAAUGGGCGGAAGCCUGAUGCAGCGACGUCGCGUGAGGGAUGGAGGCCUUCGGGUUGUGAACCUCUUUCUCCGGUGGUGAAGGCCCUGUCCGUUGCGGCGGGGUUGACGGUAGCCGGGGAUGAAGCGCCGGCUAACUACGUG
rnacentral:rRNA from 1 species